GGGGAUAUAGCUCAGUGGUAGAGUACUUGCCUUGCAUGCACAAGACCCUGGGUUCGAUUCCCAGCACCACCA
rnacentral:tRNA from 1 species